UAGGGAAUAUUAGAAAUGGACGAAAGUCUGAUCUAGCAACACCGCGUGUGCGAUGAAGGCCUUCGGGUUGUAAAGCACUUUUUGGAAGGAUUAGGAAGGAAUGUACUUCCAGAAUAAGUCUCGGCUAACUACGUGCCAGCAGCCGCGGUAACACGUAGGAGGCGAACGUUAUCCGGAUUUACUGGGCGUAAAGCGCGUGUAGGUGGUUCUGUAAGUAGGGCGUGAAAGCUCCUGGCUCAACUGGGAGAGGCCGUUCUAAACUGCAGAGCUAGAGGAUGGUAGAGGGAGGUGGAAUUCCGGGUGUAGCGGUGGAAUGCGCAGAUAUCCGGAGGAACACCAGUGGCGAAGGCGGCCUCCUGGACCAUUCCUGACACUCAGACGCGAAAGCUAGGGUAGC
rnacentral:rRNA from 1 species